GUAGUUCAGUGGUAGAACACCACCUUGCCAAGGUGGGGGUCGCGGGUUCGAAUCCCGUC
rnacentral:tRNA from 1 species